rnacentral:rRNA from 1 species
GACGUAGGGCGCGAGCGUUGUCCGGAUUUAUUGGGCGUAAAGAGCUCGUAGGCGGCUUGUCGCGUCGGCUGUGAAAACCCGCGGCUCAACUGUGGGCGGGCAGCUGAUACGGGCAGGCUGGAGUUCGGUAGGGGAGACUGGAAUUCCUGGUGUAGCGGUGAAAUGCGCAGAUAUCAGGAGGAACACCGGUGGCGAAGGCGACAUCCUGGACCGGUAUUGACGCUGAGGCGCGAAAGCCAGGGGAGCAAACGGG